AUUGAACGCUGGCGGCAGGCCUAACACAUGCAAGUCGAACGGUAGCACAGAGAGCUUGCUCUCGGGUGACGUGUGGCGGACGGGUGAGUAACGUCUGGGAAACUGCCCGAUGGAGGGGGAUAACUGCUGGAAACGGUAGCUAAUACCGCAUAACGUCGCAAGACCAAAGUGGGGGACCUUCGGGCCUCACACCAUCGGAUGUGCCCAGAUGGGAUUAGCUAGUAGGUGGGGUAAUGGCUCACCUAGGCGACGAUCCCUAGCUGGUCUGAGAGGAUGACCAGCCACACUGGAACUGAGACACGGUCCAGAAUCCUACGGGAGGCAGCAGUGGGGAAUAUUGCACAAUGGGCGCAAGCCUGAUGCAGCCAUGCCGCGUGUAUGAAGAAGGCCUUCGGGUUGUAAAGUACUUUCAGCGGGGAGGAAGGCGGUGAAGUUAAUAACUUCACCGAUUGACGUUACCCGCAGAAGAAGCACCGGCUAACUCCGUGCCAGCAGCCGCCGUAA
rnacentral:rRNA from 1 species